AGAAGGCCAGCUCUAGAGUAAGAGCUUCUAGGUUGUACUAGUGCAUUCCCAGGCGGCUAGUGGUAUAGUAGAUAGAGACUGCUAGGUGUACCUGGAGUUGGGCAGACCUGAAUUCAAAUCUGACCUCAGAUACUCACUAGUUGUAUGAUCCUGGGCAAGCCAUUUAACUUAUGUUUGCCUCAGUAAAAAUCAGUAAAAUGGGAACGAACAAUAAAUGGCACCUACCUAAGAGAAUUGUUCUGAGAAUCAAAUGAGACAAAAUUUAUGCAAAUGCUUAAUGGUGUACAAUAAUAAAUGCUUAUUUCCUUCUCCUUCCCUUCCCACUAGAGGCCCCACAUAAUAUGGAAAGGCCUUCUUGUGGAAGAACUCUAGCAUGUUGGUUGGGGAGACUAUCAGAUAUGAAUAAGAAUCACACAAGACAAAAAGACAGAGAUGGGUCAUGAUGAAUGCUCUUGGAAGGAAGACUCAUGCUGGUGUGAACAAGGAUCUACUUGGAUGAAUUCAAGGGUCCUGGAAGAAAAAAAAAAGGCUCAGAGCUUGGCACAGGGGUUUGUUUGGAAGACAAAGGAUCUCCGACUUAGAGCUAGAAGAGACUUGGCAGGCCUUUUAAUUCAGUUUUCUCAUUUUAUAGAUGGAGAAACUGGGGCCCAUUGGGACCUAUCCAAGGUCAUCCCAGCACUAGGUGGCAGGAUUUGAAGCUAGGAACAUUAAUUCCAGAACCAAAAUGCUCACCUUUAUCCCCAGCUGUUCAUACUCCUAGAAUGAUAAUUACUACCAUGAGACUUUCCAAACAAGGAUACCUCCAUUUAAAUAUGUUGGGCAAUACCCGUUACAACAAAAUUCCAUUACAGCAAAAGAACUUGGCCCCUUAUAGCUUGUUGCAAGAUUUGACCUACAGAACUUUCUGGAAUUGCAGCUGGAAGGAAUGAUUUACUUUCCAUGAAGACAGAUGGCCCCCUGCAAACUUCUUGGUACAUGCACGUACAUCCAUUGUAAGAGGCAUCCAGUCCACUCUUUGCCCAACCAGUUAGUUCCCUGUGACAAUGGAGGGGAGUACUUCCACAUAAUCCCAAAUGGAAGAAGUGAAAAGAUGAAGAUGAACUCUGAAAGGACUCCUGGAUUUCAAGGCCUACGAUUCAGAAUGAGUCCAGUAGUGCCUUCUCUUUUCACCACAGCUGAAUAAUGAGAGAACAAAGACCUAAUUUAAAGGACAGUGCACUUCUCAUGAGUAAAUACACAUUCCUAGCACAGCACAAAGUCCAGCUGUGGAAUUCAGCUGAAAUAAGUCAGUUAGCAGACAAGGCAAGAGACCCAAACUAAACGCAGGAAGACUGGGUACCAGCCCCAAUCCAGGACCCUAAGGUAGAUGCCCAAGCCUCAUAUUGUAAGCUAUGACAGACAUAGACCAAGAACAAGUAAGGAAAUCACCCCAAAUAGCCACCAAUAAAGAAAAAAAAAUUAAGCUCAUAACCUUCCAUCUAAGUGACUUGCCUAGGGUUAAAUAGCUAAGAAGUGUCUGAGACCAUAUUUGAAUACCAGACCUCCCAUCUCCAGGCCUGGCUCCCUAUUCACUGAGUCACCUAGCUGUCCCCCCAGCACAAAAUUUGAGAUUUUUUUUUGGACAAUGAAUAGUACUCUUAUAGCUAGAGUCAUCACAAACUCUAAUUCUAAGGUUCUGGGCACAGGAGAGAACAAGACCUUUCCCCCUUCAACCCAAACAGUUGCACACCUUUACUCCAAGCUCCAUAGAGGAGUAAAAGAGAGAUAUGCUCAUCAUUCCCUUGUUGAGUCAGUCAGACCAGACCUGCUAAAGCAAAGCAAUCAGAAAACAUGAAUACACUGCCUGAGAAGCAGAAGUGAAUGAAUGGUUCCUAUCACUUGCUAAUGCCCUUGCUCAAGUAACUAUAUACCACAACAGAGGAUAUGUAAAGUGGUCACCAGUCUCCCUUUCUCCCUGGGAGAUGGAGGGUCUGAGUACAUUUGUAAGUAUCCCACAAUGAGAAAGGUAGGUUAUAAGUCCUGUUAUGAGUAAGUCACUGACCCCUAUAUUGCCACUGUUCCAUUAUACAAUGAAACAUAAUUAAAAAAAAAAGAAUCCGAAUAAUAAAAUAACA